AGUGAACGCUGGCGGUAGGCCUAACACAUGCAAGUCGAACGGCAGCACAGUGAGAGCUUGCUCUUACGGGUGGCGAGUGGCGGACGGGUGAGGAAUACAUCGGAAUCUACUUUUUCGUGGGGGAUAACGUAGGGAAACUUACGCUAAUACCGCAUACGACCUACGGGUGAAAGCAGGGGAUCUUCGGACCUUGCGCGAUUGAAUGAGCCGAUGUCGGAUUAGCUAGUUGGCGGGGUAAAGGCCCACCAAGGCGACGAUCCGUAGCUGGUCUGAGAGGAUGAUCAGCCACACUGGAACUGAGACACGGUCCAGACUCCUAAGGGAGGCAGCAGUGGGGAAUAUUGGACAAUGGGCGCAAGCCUGAUCCAGCCAUACCGCGUGGGUGAAGAAGGCCUUCGGGUUGUAAAGCCCUUUUGUUGGGAAAGAAAAGCAGCAGGUUAAUACCCCGCUGUUCUGACGGUACCCAAAGAAUAAGCACCGGCUAACUUCGUG
rnacentral:rRNA from 1 species